AUGUGCGUCCCAUUCCUCGCCGUCAUGGUUGUCGGGAUCCAGGGCCUGUACCAGAGCAAGCGGCGGCGGCGGCGUGCAGCAAGGGCGCGAGCAACGGCGCGGAGCACCAGAGUAGGCAGCGGAGCAAGCAGCACCGGCGCGGCGGCGCGCAAGCAGCAGCAACAGCGACGAGGCGGCGCGCAAACAGCAGUAGCAGCAGAGCAAGCAGCAGGGACGCGGCGCCAAGGAAGCAGCAGGGGUGCGGUGCCGCGGAAUCAGCAGCAGCGGAGCAAGCGGCAGGGGCGCGGCGCCGUGGAAGCACCAGCAGCGGCGCGGCGGUGUACAAGCAGCAGCGACGGAGACGCAAGCAGUAGUAGCGGAGCAAAGCAGCAGCCGCGCGCAUGA
rnacentral:rRNA from 1 species